rnacentral:rRNA from 1 species
CCUACGGGUGGCAGUAGUGGGGAAUAUUGGACAAUGGGCGAAAGCCUGAUCCAGCCAUGCCGCGUGUGUGAAGAAGGCCUUCGGGUUGUAAAGCACUUUCAGUGGGGAAGAAAGCCUUGGGGCUAAUACCCUCGAGGAAGGACAUCACCCACAGAAGAAGCACCGGCUAACUCCGUGCCAGCAGCCGCGGUAAUACGGAGGGUGCGAGCGUUAAUCGGAAUUACUGGGCGUAAAGCGCGCGUAGGCGGUCUGAUAAGCCGGUUGUGAAAGCCCCGGGCUCAACCUGGGAACGGCAUCCGGAACUGUCAGGCUAGAGUGCAGGAGAGGAAGGUAGAAUUCCCGGUGUAGCGGUGAAAUGCGUAGAGAUCGGGAGGAAUACCAGUGGCGAAGGCGGCCUUCUGGACUGACACUGACGCUGAGGUGCGAAAGCGUGGGUAGCAAACAGGAUUAGAUACCCGAGUAGUC